AGCAGGAUCAGGAGAAUUUCUUAUGUCCUUCCUACAUUAAUACAAAAGGUAGUACAAUUUACCAACUUAGUUUGAUAUGUUACCACCAGUAAUUUAAACACAUUCCCUUUAGAUACUGUAUAGAAGUCACUUUCUUUUCCUCAUUAAAUUUUCUGUCUGUGGUUAUUUUUCUGUAGCAUUUUAACUGCUCUCACAUUCAAGGUCUAACUGUAUUCAAUCUGUUAUACCAAAUUAUGUUUCAGACCAUUGCUUGUAAAUAACAUUUUAGGUGUUUCUUGCCAUUUAAAGUUUACUUUAUGCUGUUUUACUUUAUUGUAGAAAACAAAAGCCAAUGUAAAACAGAAAGCUCAAAUUUUCUCCUAUCAACCCUAGUGCAAGACAUCCAUAAAAUUUCUUCAAGGAAGUUUGUUUUGUUUUGUUUUCUUGUAAAUUACUAUUUUACUUACUGUGUGUAUGUCCACAACUGCUUGUGUGCUGUGACAUUUGUGGCUUUAUUUUAUGUUUGUUUUGUUUUUUGAAACAAUGUCUUGUAUAACCUAGGUUGACCUUGAACUUGCCUUGUAAUCAUUAAUGCUCUUGAAUUUCUGAUCCUCUUGGUUAAUGGCACCUCCCUGGGUGCCAGGAUUAAUCAUGGAACACCAGACCAGAUUCGGCUUAUAUCAUGUUGGAAUUCAAACCCAGGGCUUCAUGCUUGUUAGGAAGUACUGUACCAACUGAGACACAACCCAGUUUCUAUUUAUUUUAGUCUUAAAUUUUAAAUACUCUUUUGCUCUAUCACUGCAUUCUUUGACUUUAGCUGUAUUAUUCUUAUUUAUGGAGAAUGUGUCUGCUAAAGUCAGUAAUAAGACAAGAGUGUCCAUGAUCUCCACUCCUAUUAAUAUAGUGCCUACAGACUUGUGACUGAAGUUGUUAACAAUGGUACACAUAAGAAAGGAUGAAACAAAAUUAUUCUUGUUUGCAUAUGGUAUGAUUCUAUGCAUAAAAGACUCUAAAGCCUCUACUAGAAAAUUCUGGCCACUGAUAAACACAUUUAACAAAGGAGCAAGAACAUAAACUUAACAUAUAAGACUUGGUAGCCUUCUUGUAUACCUGGCAGCUACAGAUUUCCAUUUAUUCUCCUGGUCCUUUGGGUCUCUUUCUCCUCUCUCCAUACAUCCUGAUUCUACUCUCCUACCCAUUUCUUCGCCCCCUAUGACUAUUUUGUUCCCCCUCCUAAGUGUGAUUCAAGCUUGGACCUUCCUUCCUUAACUUCUUUGGGUCUGUGGGAUGUAUCAUGGGUAUUCUGUGCUUUAUGGCUAAUAUCCACUGAUUGGUGAGAAUGCAUGUCUUUUUGGUUCUGGGUUAUCUCAGUCAGGAUGAUGUUUUUUUAGUUCUGUCCAUUUUCCUGCAAAAUUCACGAUGUCCUUGUUUUAAAUGGCUGAAUAGUAUUCCAUUGUGUAAAUGAACUACAUUUUCUGUAUCUGUUCUUCAGUUGAGGGACAUCUGGGUUAUUUCCAGUUUCUGACUUUACAAAUAAAGCUGCUGUGAACAUAGUGGAGCAUAUGUCCUUGUGGCAUGGUAGAGCAUCUUUUUGGGUAUAUAUAUACUCAGGAGCAGUAUAGCUGGGUCUUCAGGUAGAUCUAUUUCCAAUUUUCUGAGAAACUGCUAGAUUGAUUUCCAGAGUAUACAAGUUUGCAGUCCCACCAGCAAUGGAGGAGUGUUCCCCUUUCCCCCUUUCCUCGCCAGCAUGUGCUGUCAUUUGAGUAUUUGAUGUUAGCCAUUUUGACUGGUGUAAGGUGGAAUCUCAGGAUCUAUACUAUAAAACAAUAGUGAUUAAAAACUGCAUAGUGUUGGUACAGAAACAGACAGAUUGAUCAAUGGAAUCAAAUCAAAGACUGAGAAAUAAACAGACACACCUACAGACACUUGAUUUUUGACAAAACCAUACAAUGGAAAAAAGAAAUGGCGCUGGUCUAACUUGAUGUCUGCAUGUAGAAGAGUGCAAAUAGAUUCAUGUUUAUCACCCUGCACAAAACUCAAGUCCAAGUGGAUUAAGGACCUCAAAACAUGAAACUGGAUACACUAAAUCUCAUAGAAGAGGAAGUGGGAAGUAGCCUUGGUAAAAGAGACAAUUUCCUUAACAGAACACCUGUGGUUCAGGCUAUAAGAUCAACAAUUGAUAAAUGGGACCUCAUGAAACUGAAAAGGUUCUGUAAGGCAAAGGACACUGUCAAUACGACAAAAUGGCAGCCUAUGGAUUGGGAAAAAUUUUUUACUAACCCUACAUCUGACAGAGAGGGCUAAUAUCCAAAAUAUAUAAAGAACUCAAGAAAUUAGACUCCAGUAACCUAAAGUAACUCAAUUAAAAAUGGGUACAGAGCUAAACAGAUUUCUCAAUAGAGGAAUCACAAAUGGACAAGAAGCACUUAAAAAAUGUUCAACAUCCUUAGUCAUCAGGGAAAUCAAGACCCAUAUCUUAACAUGGAAAAGUAUUUUUUUGUUUGUUUGUUUUUAUAAGCUCUUUAAGUUAGCCAAGUAUGGAAUUACUGCAAUUCUGUCCAAUACCUGAUAUCUUAGACUAAAAGAGGUGUGUGCCACCAGGGUGGCUUUUUUAAUACUAGCACUCACAAGGAUGGAGUAUGGGUAGGGACAAUUUAAACUAAAGACUUUCAGAAAUGCUGCAUGGAAACCUACUAAUGUAGAAACUUUCUAAAUCUACACAAAC
rnacentral:lncRNA from 1 species